CUUCCACCUUGUGCAGGGUUCAGCAUCCCUGGGAAGUGAACUCUGUCCAUCUGGUCCUGCUCGUCUCUCUCUCUCCAGGGGCCUGGAUCACCACCUUCAGGCCCU
rnacentral:lncRNA from 1 species